UGGGGCGUUCCAUAUAGGUUGGGUGCUAAAUUUUGGAUGAAAAUCAAAGACUUUUAGUGUGUGAUAUGAGAGAAAAGAUCUAAAAAAAAUUUGAGAAAAAAUAAGAAAAAAUUGGGAGAAAAAAUAGUAAGAAGGGUGGUGAGAAAAAUAGUAAGUGUUGCUAGUUUGUCCUAAGGUUUUAUUUUUUUAUGUGUUAGAGUACAAAAUCAAAUCUUAGGUUGUGAGAUUUUUGGAGAGAAUUUUUUUGGCAUGAUCCUAGUGGCA
rnacentral:lncRNA from 1 species